UCCUCCAUAGCUCAGUUGGCAGAGCACGCGGCUGUUAACCGCGGUGUCGUAGGUUCAAGCCCUACUGGAGGAGCCA
rnacentral:tRNA from 1 species